UGAGUGGGUUGGACGGUCGCCGGGUUGAGAGACAUCCGGAGGAAAGUCCGAGCAGGGCAGGGCGCGGUGGCGGCUAACGGCCGCCCGGGGUGACCCGCGGGAAAGUGCCGCAGAAAACACACCGCCGAUGGCCCUUCGGGGCACAGGUAAGGUUGAAAUGGUGCGGUAAGAGCGCACCGCGUCGCUGGUAACAGCGGCGGCAGGGCAAACCCCACCGCCUGCAAGACCAAGUAUGCUGUGUGUUCGGCCCGAACGCUAUCACAGCGGGUAGGUUGCGUGCCGAAUGGGAGACCGUUCGGCAGAGCCGGUCGGCGACGGCCGGUCAAAGUUUAAUGACCGUCAUCCCGUUUACGGGGGACAGAACUCGGCUUACAGACCCACUCUUUUU
rnacentral:RNase_P_RNA from 1 species